rnacentral:snRNA from 1 species
AUACAUUGAUAGCGUAACGGCCUA